rnacentral:rRNA from 1 species
ACUGCUCAGUAACACGUGGACAACCUGCCCUUAGGACGGGGAUAAACCCGGGAAACUGGGUAUAAUACCCGAUAGGUCUCGAUUGCUGGAAUGCAUCGAGAUUUAAAGCUCCGGCGCCUAAGGAUGGGUCUGCGGCCUAUCAGGUAGUAGUGGGUGUAGCGUACCUACUAGCCUACGACGGGUACGGGUUGUGAGAGCAAGAGCCCGGAGAUGGAUUCUGAGACACGAAUCCAGGCCCUACGGGGUGCAGCAGGCGCGAAAACUUUACAAUGCUGGCAACAGCGAUAAGGGAACCUCGAGUGCCAGGUUACAAAUCUGGCUGUCGAGAUGCCUAAAAAGCAUUUCAUAGCAAGGGCCGGGCAAGACCGGUGCCAGCCGCCGCGGUAACACCGGCGGCUCGAGUGGUAACCGUUAUUAUUGGGUCUAAAGGGUCUGUAGCCGACCGGAUAAGUCUCUUGAGAAAUCUGGCAGCUUAACUGUCAGGCCUUCAGGAGAUACUGUCUGGCUCGAGGCCGGGAGAGGUGAGAGGUACUUCAGGGGUAGGGGUGAAAUCUUGUAAUCCUUGAAGGACCACCAGUGGCGAAGGCGUCUCACCAGAACGGACCUGACGGCAAGGGACGAAAGCUAGGGGCACGAACCGGAUUAGAUACCCGGGUAGUCCUAGCCGUAAACGAUACUCGCUAGGCGUCGGCCACGGUGCGACCGUUGUCGGUGCCGUAGGGAAGCCGUGAAGCGAGCCACCUGGGAAGUACGGCCGCAAGGCUGAAACUUAAAGGAAUUGGCGGGGGAGCAC